CGUAGGGUGCGAGCGUUAAUCGGAAUUACUGGGCGUAAAGCGUGCGCAGGCGGUUUUGUAAGACAGAUGUGAAAUCCCCGGGCUCAACCUGGGACCUGCAUUUGUGACUGCAAGGCUAGAGUACGGUAGAGGGGGAUGGAAUUCCGCGUGUAGCAGUGAAAUGCGUAGAUAUGCGGAGGAACACCGAUGGCGAAGGCAAUCCCCUGGACCUGUACUGACGCUCAUGCACGAAAGCGUGGGGAGCAAACAGGAUUAGAUACCCUGGUAGUCCACGCCCUAAACGAUGUCAACUGGUUGUUGGGUCUUUACUGACUCAGUAACGAAGCUAACGCGUGAAGUUGACCGCCUGGGGAGUACGGCCGCAAAGGUUG
rnacentral:rRNA from 1 species